AUGUAAACAAGACAUUAAUUUAAGUGCCUAAUAAUACCGAUUAUUGAAAGUAUAACUCGAUAUCCAAGUCAUGUUAAUUACCCCAUUUGCUCGACUAUUUUUUGUGUGUAAAUGUUUUGGAUUGACUUCGUUUUCAAUUCGAGAAAAUAAAUUGUUCACACGUGGUAGAAAAGACAAGAUUUUGAACAUAGUUCUGCUGACAGUGGUAUUUUUUGUGAUAAGUUCAAAAAUUAGUAGCUGUCACAGCAAGUUUGAUAAAUAUGGAACUAUUUCAUCAAAAAUUUCCCGAAUUAUGCGGUACAUUUAUCAGCUAGUAUUGAUUGGUACAAUAUGUACAAAACAAACGAGAAUUGUGAAAUUAUUUAAGAAAAUAUUGCAAUUGGAAAAGUUAGUUUUCAGUGUGACUUAUAAACAUUUUGACAGUGCUAAAUUAACACGAAAAUUGCGCUACUUUUUCAUCACACACUGUAUUAAUACUACGAUUCUGGUUGUUUUAAAUUUUCCUCUAAUUCAUGUAGUUGGUGUCUCGCUUUUUGUCUGUUGUGUUCGAUUUGUUGCCACUUCGGCAAUACAAGUGGUUGCAGAAGGUUUAAUGUUUUACUUUCUCAGUGCAAGUUCACACUUAAUUGAUCAUUUAAACACCAAUUGUACGGAAAUACCAAAGCACAAAAUGGUUAAAUGUUACCAGAUUUAUUUCGAAUUAAAAACGAAAAUUGAGGAAAUGGUUGGCUUUUAUGCUUUCGUUAAAAUCACGCAUAUUGUGAUCGAGGUAGCAACCAAUAUUUAUUCAUUUCGUAAAGACAUGCAAGACGAUUACAGCACUCAAAAAAACAUUGGUGAUGUAGUCUUUGCGCUGAAUGGCUAUUGGAUAGUGCAGACCAUAUUCCAAGUUAUUUUACUAAUUUAUCCAAUUACAGAGUUUUGCAGCAAAGUGGCAAAAACGGUUGAUUUAUUUGAAGAUAAGGCAAAUGAAAAUAAUGUGAAAAGAUUUCUCGUACAGGUCUACACGUUGCCUCAAAAAUUUACAGCGCAUGGUUUGUUUGUGCUUGAUUGGUCGCUGCUCCAUUUUAUGAUUGGGUCGAUUACCACGCAUUUAGUUUACUUGAUACAAUUCAAGCAGACCUCAAGUUAAAACAUUACUCGGCUAUUGCUUGCUCGAAAAUUUACAUAACAAAACAAUGUUCUAAGGUGAAUUAGGUCAUGUGUGCUUAGAUUGGAUUUUGGGAUAAUAGAGUUUCUGCAGUACAAAUGCAAUAGGACAAGCUCCUGUCACUUUGUAUUAAACUUAGGAGCGAUAUCAGCAGUAAACUUGGCACGAAUGCUAUGUAAUUUACAAAA